UGGGGAAUAUUGGACAAUGGGCGCAAGCCUGAUCCAGCCAUGCCGCGUGAGUGACGAAGGCCUUAGGGUUGUAAAGCUCUUUUGGCGGGGAAGAUAAUGACGGUACCCGCAGAAUAAGCUCCGGCUAACUUCGUGCCAGCAGCCGCGGUAAUACGAAGGGAGCUAGCGUUGUUCGGAAUCACUGGGCGUAAGGCGCACGUAGGUGGGCAGUUAAGUCAGGGGUGAAAGCCCGAGGCUCAACCUCGGAAUUGCCUCUGAUACUGGCUGUCUAGAGUUCGAGAGAGGUGAGUGGAAUUCCUAGUGUAGAGGUGAAAUUCGUAGAUAUUAGGAAGAACACCGGUGGCGAAGGCGGCUCACUGGCUCGAUACUGACACUGAGGUGCGAAAGCGUGGGGAGCAAACAGGAUUAGAUACCCCAGUAGUCCCUGAGCGGGCUGGCAAGGCGCAU
rnacentral:rRNA from 1 species